UACGUAGGGGGCAAGCGUUAUCCGGAAUUAUUGGGCGUAAAGAGUACGUAGGUGGCAACCUAAGCGCAGGGUUUAAGGCAAUGGCUCAACCAUUGUUCGCCCUGCGAACUGGGAUGCUUGAGUGCAGGAGAGGAAAGCGGAAUUCCUAGUGUAGCGGUGAAAUGCGUAGAUAUUAGGAGGAACACCAGUGGCGAAGGCGGCUUACUGGACGGCAACUGACGCUGAGGCUCGAAAGCGUGGGGAGCAAACAGG
rnacentral:rRNA from 1 species